GGAGCAGUAUCGAAGUGGUCAUAACGGGCACGACUGGAAAUCGUGUGACGGUCGAAAGCCGUCCGUGAGUUCGAAUCUCACCUGCUCCGCCA
rnacentral:tRNA from 1 species